UUCCCGCAAAAAAACAACACAAUUUGCAAUACCACACAAUCCCUCUUUUGUCACCCAUUCACCCACAACCGUACAAAACGGGAAGGCAGGACUGUGAUUCGUUUGCUCAUUAAUCCUUCAAAGGGAUAUUUGUCGCCUCACCCACGGUAAUAAACAAUUCACGGCGCACUGCUUCCACCGUGAACUCAUCGCCGGGUGUUACCUUAUCUGUGCUUUCCCAUCAGCGUGCUUAAUAAUAAUGCUAUGAUGAGUGCGAUGCAGCAUUCAAAAGGAACACCCCGAACUGUGUGGAAAUGAGCACUUUUGCAGCGCAUUAAUAAAUAAGCAAUUACUUAAUUUAUACUCUCCGCGCACGGCGAGACACACGCGGUUUGCGAAGAGUGGCGGAAACGCUUGAAAACUUUACAUAAAAUCAAAAUCAAAUGUGAUCUGUUUAAUGCUUGCUAAUGAGGCAAAGCAAAGCAGCCGAAAUGAAAUUAUCUUUUGAGUGGAGUUCGUCGUGCUCUAUUCCCACUCGGUGUUGCUUUCCUUCACUGGCAACGAUACUCUCGUUCGUGUCUCAUUUACUUCCAAUAAAUAAACAACCAUGAAAACGAUGACCCUAGAGGAGAGAGAGAGAGAGGGAUGCGCAAGAGAGCACGAGAAAAAGGUCCAGUGAAUCCUGUGAAUCCAUUCAUUUGUUCGCCUAUUCAGAAGUUUUCCACUCCGCCCGGAAGGAAGCGAAGAUAUGGGAACAAAAAUUUUUCCCUCUGGUGAAUGGCGGCGGGAGCGGUUGCUCGGGCAGAUGAAAAACAGAGGCCGGACAAUUGCACCUUACGUUGUCGCAGGAGAGGGUGCGCGCUAUGCCAAUGAAAACGGAAGCAUAUUUGCUUUGAUGAUGGGUGAAAUUGGUCGCUAUUUUGUUUUUCCGUCGUGAUGAUAACUCCCAAUCCACCUAGAGGGUGUAUUGAGUUCUUUUUUGUGUGAAAUGUCUGAAGUUAGCACAAAGUAAAUCGUUAUUUCCACUUUCAUAAUAAACAUAUUAAUGUAAAAAUGACACAGAAACCUUUCUGCAUUUUUAUAAAUUAUUCUCAUUUCGAAUUCCACACUAAUUCCAAUACCUUUACACCCUUCUCAGCAAGAACCGUACCCUUCAAUAGUCUUCACGGGCUAUUGUACCGCUGAAGAGGACACCGAUGCCCGUAAACCGAGGGCAAAGGUCGCGGAGGAGUUCGUUAAUCAGAUCCUUAUCACAGUGUAGCAUAUGAACCAUUAUCGUAACACUGCUUAAAAUCGCACGCGGAAACAGAAGCGGUGAAGGAAGGUUGAUUAUUACAUCGACGUAUGAUGGGGACUACCGCCGAUGGAUCAUAAGACGCGGGGCAUGGACGGAGUUGCUUUCGGUUGAAUAGAGCACAAAUUACAGCGAAUAAUGUCACCGUUGAUGACGUCAAAUUAGAGCAUAUUAUUAGUUAAUAGACCCCGGGGUGGCACUGGACCAAACGGGCAGAGAGCGGGAGUUCAUCGUUCGGAGUUUUUCUACGGCGAUUGAGGCGAAAUAUUACUCUCUUUCCCAUUAGAUUUUUCUAAGCGAGUGUGUGCGUUGCUCUACUCAUACCUACAUC